rnacentral:lncRNA from 1 species
AUGUUAAAUUUCAAAUUACUGAAACAUUUUCUUACCUUCAGUAAUCAGGUAAACUGGUCAGCCCUUGCACAGGAUGUCUUUUCAAGGAGCAGGAAAAUACUGUCUGAUUUUGGAGACGCUGACAUUUUAAGAAAGAAUACUGAAAUAUUUGAAAAUAACACAAGACAAAAGAGACUUAUCAUGCAGUACUUCUAGAAGAAUCCAGUUUUCCAUGAAAAACACCAUCUGUGAAAACCAAGCCAGCAGGACUUCUUGUUCAGAAUGGGUCAAGACAAGAUGUUUACACAAAUACCUUUAUUAUAGAAGA